UACGUAGGGUGCAAGCGUUGUCCGGAAUUAUUGGGCGUAAAGAGCUCGUAGGCGGUUUGUCGCGUCUGCUGUGAAAACUCGGGGCUUAACCCCGGGCCUGCAGUGGGUACGGGCAGACUAGAGUGCGGUAGGGGAGGCUGGAAUUCCCAGUGUAGAGGUGAAAUUCGUAGAUAUUGGGAAGAACACCGGUGGCGAAGGCGGCUCACUGGCCCGUAACUGACGCUCAUGCACGACAGCGUGGGGAUCAAACAGG
rnacentral:rRNA from 1 species